GUUAGCUUUACUAAAUGAUAAAAAUUUAUAAAUUUUACAUUUUCUAAAAAUAUUUUUUUAUAAAAUGAUUAUUAUUAUUUUUUUUUAAAAAGAUGUACACAUGACAUAUUCGUCAGCAAAAUUAGCGGACAUAGCAUCUAGAUCAGCAAAAUUAGAUAAUGUGUCAGCUGAUGUGGCGAUGAGGUAUGAUUUGGCAAAAAAAUAAACAUUAGGUAUGUUAUUUGAAAUUUUUGAAAGUUCAGGUAUGUUUUAGCACGACCAUAUAAGUGAGAUAUGAAUUGAACAUAUUAUGUUAAAUUGGGUAUGAAAUGGCCGUUUUCCCGUCA
rnacentral:lncRNA from 1 species